CGCGUAGGCGGCCUUCUAAGUCGAACGUGAAAUCCCUGGGCUCAACCCAGGAACUGCGUCCGAUACUGAAAGGCUUGAAUCCGGGAGAGGGAUGCGGAAUUCCAGGUGUAGCGGUGAAAUGCGUAGAUAUCUGGAGGAACACCGGUGGCGAAGGCGGCAUCCUGGACCGGUAUUGACGCUGAGGCGCGAAGCCAGGGGAGCAAACG
rnacentral:rRNA from 1 species